rnacentral:rRNA from 1 species
GACGAACGCUGGCGGCGUGCCUAAUACAUGCAAGUUGAGCGCUGAAGGUUGGUACUUGUACCAACUGGAUGAGCAGCGAACGGGUGAGUAACGCGUGGGGAAUCUGCCUUUGAGCGGGGGACAACAUUUGGAAACGAAUGCUAAUACCGCAUAAAAACUUUAAACACAAGUUUUAAGUUUGAAAGAUGCAAUUGCAUCACUCAAAGAUGAUCCCGCGUUGUAUUAGCUAGUUGGUGAGGUAAAGGCUCACCAAGGCGAUGAUACAUAGCCGACCUGAGAGGGUGAUCGGCCACAUUGGGACUGAGACACGGCCCAAACUCAUACGGGAGGCAGCAGUAGGGAAUCGUCGGCCAUGGACGAAAGUCUGACCGAGCAACGCCGAGUGAGUGAAGAAGGUUUUCGGAUCGUAAAACUCUGUUGGUAGAGAAGAACGUUGGUGAGAGUGGAAAGCUCAUCAAGUGACGGUAACUACCCAGAAAGGGACGGCUAACUACGUG